rnacentral:rRNA from 1 species
UAGUCCACGCCGUAAACGAUGAUUACUGGUUGUGCGCGAUACAUAGUGCGUGACUGAGGGAAACCAUUAAGUAAUCCACCUGGGGAGUACGUUGGCAACAAUGAAACUCAAAGGAAUUGACGGGGGCCCGCACAAGCGGAGGAACAUGUGGUUUAAUUCGAUGAUACGCGAGGAACCUUACCUGGGCUUAAAUGUACAGUGCAUGACUUGGAAACAGGUCUUUUCUUCGGAACUCUAUACAAGGUGCUGCAUGGUUGUCGUCAGCUCGUGCCGUGAGGUGUCGGGUUAAGUCCCAUAACGAGCGCAACCCCUAUCGUUAGUUGCUAGCAGGUAAUGCUGAGGACUCUAGCGAGACUGCCGGUGACAAACCGGAGGAAGGUGGGGACGACGUCAAGUCAUCAUGGCCCUUACGACUUGGGCUACACACGUGCUACAAUGGUCGGUACAGAGGGCAGCAAAGCGGCGACGUGGAGCCAAUCCCUUAAAACCGGUCGUAGUCCGGAUUGGAGUCUGCAACUCG